GAGGCGGGGUACGCGGGGGAAACACGGUAUUCGCCCCGGAAGACGCAAGGUCUGCAGACCCGGCGGCGAGCCUGGGCAUCGGAAGUGUCUCUCGAAUGUCUUCAGCGCAUGCUUUCAUGGCAGUAACCAUCUGUGGCUGUCUCUGAGUUCUGUCGAAGCAUUUAACAAACUGUUAUUUGGAAAAGAGUUCUUAAGAGUUGGAAGGGCCUUUGGCUCUCACCUCGCCCAGAUCCAGGAGAACCGAAAAGAAAAGAAAAGAAAUCACUGCUUUAGCCCGCGUGCUGGAGGUGGAGUAUCCAGGCGCGCCUGAGGCCGGUCAGACUUGUAAGGAGGCUGACAUUAGCGGACCACCUAUAGUGAGCCGGGCUAGUUGCAAUUCUCUCCGCAACCCUGUAGGGAAAAGGUGUUGCCCCAUUUCGCUGAUAUAGAAAUUGAGGCUUAGAAAGCGUGAUUAAGGUGACUGGUCCAAAGAUUUGGGACUUGCAAGUGUUCCGGAACCUGGUUCAUUCUGCCGGUCGCAUGGAAAGCCAGCCAAUCACCAAGACAAGGAGUUUGCAGCGAGAAAGGGUUCAUUCCCCAGGCAGCCAAGAGAGGAGAGGGGAAAACAAAUCUCAAAUCUGCCUCCCAGAAAAUGGGGAUUCGGGCUGUUUAUGGGGUAGCGGUCAGGAUGGUCCGAUGGCUGCGUAGAUGACUGGAGAAACAACAGAGAAAGGAGGCUUGACGCCGUGUCCCUCUGAUCACCUCCCAGUACAGGAGUCCACCAGUCCAUGAAAUUCCAGAAACAACAUCUGACCUCAGAGUGACUACCGCCUCUUCCUCUCCCUCUUUCUGUUUUUCCUUUUUUCUCUUAUUUUGUCUCCCUUUUUUCUUCUUUUUCCUUCCUCCCUGGGGAAUUGGUGGAUGAGAAGAGGAACAGAUGGUGCCCACUGAUGAACAGAGUUACAUUCCCUUUCGCGGCACGGACAUCACGGGGAUUUGGGUAACCUGUAGGCAUCCACUGUCACCCUGCGGGGUUCCGUCCAGUGUUCAUAUUACCCUCUUCUCUUCCUCUGCCUGGCCCCCGAGAGCCAGGAGAAUGUGGUCCCCCUUUGCUUCUCCAGCAUUAUUUCUCACUUGUCCCACUAGUACCAGUAUGAAUGUUAGAAAGCUCUUUUAGAUAUUUUUUUUGAAAAGCAACCAUUUAUCGGAACAAUACAAGAAUGUGAAAAGAGAAAAGAGGAGGGUGGAAGAGGGGGAGAGAAUGAGGUCUGAAUUGGAUGUCAGUUGUGGAAAUGCAUCAAUUCCUUCUUUUAAACAUUUACAUUUAAAAGGUGAAUAUCCUUAAAAAAAAUAAAAAGCAGACAUGUUUCACUGAAAUAAAACUAAGAAACACAACCAAAAUUCUGUCACAAACCAAAAAAGUUGGUAGAGAAUUCAAUUUUCCAUUUAAAAAUCUUCCAUUGAGUCAAAACCUGCCUCCUUAUCAAUUCCAGUCAUUGGUUCUAGAUUGACCCACAUGGUGGGCAUUUGAUGACAGCUUCAUUUGUCUAAAAGUUUCUUUUCCAGCCUCUCCUCAGUUGGCUCAGUUUUUGAGUACCCUCGGAAUCUUUGUUGCUUUCAAGUUUCAGUACCCGACCGAGUCAGAGCUCAAACUGGGUUUAAACCCUAGCUCUGUCACUUACUGUAUUUGUUAAGUGGGUUUCCAAAUUUGUCAGAUGGCAUUAAGAUAAUGGAAUGUAAGGGAAGACAAUGGAAGAUAACGGCAUAAGUGCUUGAAAGAAUGCCUAGCCCAUGGUAAAUUGUAGCUACCACUAUA